rnacentral:snRNA from 1 species
AUAUACUUCGGCAAUACAUAUACUAAAAUUGGAACGAUACUGAGAAGAUUAGCAUGGCCUCUGCGCAAGGAUGACACACAAAUUCGUGAAGUGUUCCAUAUUUUU